rnacentral:rRNA from 1 species
GACGAACGCUGGCGGCGUGCUUAACACAUGCAAGUCGAACGGAAAGGCCCUGCUUUUGUGGGGUGCUCGAGUGGCGAACGGGUGAGUAACACGUGAGUAACCUGCCCUUGACUUUGGGAUAACUUCAGGAAACUGGGGCUCAUACCGGAUAGGAGCUCCUGCUGCAUGGUGGGGGUUGGAAGGUUUCGGCGGUUGGGGAUGGACUCGCGGCUUAUCGGCUUGUUGGUGGGGUAGUGGCUGACCAAGGCUUUGACGGGUAGCCGGCCUGGGAGGGGGACCGGCGACCUUACGCCUGCGAUACGGCCCAGUCGCCAAUGUUACGCAAUGGUGGAGAGCAUGACAGAGUAGGCGGGAGCCAGAGGUGACGGUGCCGCGUGCGGAAAGCUGUGUUUCGGGUUGUGAACCAAUUUCUCAUUAGCCGAGGCGUGAGUGACGGUAACGGGUAAAGAAGCACCGGCUAACUACGUG